GGCCACAUCGCGUUGAAACACCGGCUACCGUACGAUCACAGAAGUUAAGCAACGUCGCGCCUGGUCAGUACCUAGAUGGGUAACCGCUUGGGAAUAACAGGCGCUGUAAG